AAGCAGCUUCCCAGUGUCAUGUGCUUUAUUUGUUACAAAAUUUGAAGGAGGGGGACUGUUGAUGAGGUUUGAAGAGAUUGCCUUGGAAAUGUAAAACCAUUUAGGGAUAAUUUCUUGAUUAUUAUUUUUUAAUAACAUUGAGAUUAGGAGGAUCCUUGGAAGAAUAACAAGACAAGCAAUCCUUUCUCUGCAGGUAGGAGACACAAUUUUGAUUCCCAUAUGUCUGAGGUAGACAGUGGAGGGAUGAACACUGUACAAGUGUCCAUAGUGUUGGGGAGAUCAGCUCCAGCUUUGCUGGAUUUUACUGGACUCUCAUUCAGGAGCUCGGCACCAUUAACAUUCACUCCCAACGCGUGUGAGCUGUGCUGCAUCCCCAAGUGCUGCUCCUGCUGCCAGCCCUGGUACCCAACCAUGCUCAGGGGAAACCUGGCCAUCAGCUUCUCCUUCCAACAGCCUGGGCUGGGAGAGCCCCUCCACCCCCUAAAUCCAUACCUGGCAUCCCACAGAUCCUCACCUGGCUGCCACAGCACAGCAAAGGAGGAUGGCAUCCUGAGCUCCAGCUUCUCCAGCAAAUUAAAGCCAAGGGGCUCUGGGAAGAACACCCAAGGCAGAGGAAUCACCAAGAGUUACAAGGUUUGGUGGUUUAAGUCAAUCAGAUUGGUGACCUGGGGCUUUCCUGGAGUUGUAUAAAUUUUGCAGACUUGUUUUUCACUAAUAAGGAUUAACUAACAAAUUACUGUUGUUUUAUUGCUAUUAUUACUGUUAUUAUCAUUAAUGUUAUUAAAUAUUGCAGGCCAGGCUGCCUUCCCCAGCACUAGCACUGAGGCACCAUGGUUGGCACAGCCUCAUCCAGCCAGCACUGUGCCUUGGCUCUGAAUGCUCCAUAGGUCUGUGUGCUGUAGAUCUUUGUGUAAUCUAUAGAAUCUAUACGGGAAGAUGUUUGGUCUGAGAGUUUGCUGUCUUUUCUCAGUUCAGAUCUGAACUGGGCCCAAGAGCUUUGGAAAUUGGGAGCAGAGGAAACAUGGAGCCUGGUAGAUUUAAUGGUUGGCUGGAUUGUGGUGGGGAGCACCAUGACCUGGGCCCGAACCCAGCUGGGUUUCACCCCUGGGGUUCCACAAAAGCUUUUCUGACCCCCAUUUCAGGCCCUUUUUUCCUCCGCAGGUGCCUCAGAAGUAGCACUAACCCACAUGUGCAGCCACUUGCUUUGUAUCUGAAGGGACGCUGAUGGGCAGUACCAGUCCCAGGCAGGAAAAAAAGGACUUUUGUAGCAUCUGCUGUUGAAGGCAGCGGUGGCAGCACCUACCUGUGUGCAGGCACUGAGCUCACCUGUGCCCACCACAAUGAACCUUUUCCUUCCUGAACACCGGUAUGUCCUGCCUGGGAAAUUAAAUCAGCUCUGAAUGGGAAGUGCAACCAAGCUGGCCCAGCCCAGGAAGAAAAAGGGCAGCAAAAGAAAAACAAAUUCAGAAGCUGAAAAAAAAAAAAGUUAAAUGCUGUGUGUGCUGCUGUCCCUGUCACUGCCCCCACACCCAUAGCCAUGGUCGGGAAGGCUGACUUGUCCCACCAAGGUGCUUCAGCAAGGGGUGGUUUUUCCUUUAGCAGGAUUCCUGUUCCAACACAGUCCUUUUCUUCCAUUUCUGGCUCUGGAGAAGGGAGCAGCUGGGUGCUGAGCCUGCCACAGCCCAGCCGU
ensembl:lncRNA